rnacentral:rRNA from 1 species
GACGAACGCUGGCGGCGUGCCUAAUACAUGCAAGUCGAGCGGACCAAAGGGAGCUUGCUCCUGGAGGUUAGCGGCGAACGGGUGAGUAACACGUGGGCAACCUGCCUGUAAGACUGGGAUAACAUCGAGAAAUCGGUGCUAAUACCGGAUAAUAAAAAGAACUGCAUGGUUCUUUUUGAAAGAUGGUUUCGGCUAUCACUUACAGAUGGGCCCGCGGCGCAUUAGCUAGUUGGUGAGGUAACGGCUCACCAAGGCAACGAUGCGUAGCCGACCUGAGAGGGUGAUCGGCCACACUGGGACUGAGACACGGCCCAGACUCCUACGGGAGGCAGCAGUAGGGAAUCUUCCGCAAUGGACCGAAAAGUCUGACGGAGCAACGCCGCGUGAGUGAUGAAGGUUUUCGGAUCGUAAAACUCUGUUGUUAGGGAAGAACAAG